rnacentral:rRNA from 1 species
GGGGAAUAUUGGACAAUGGGGGCAACCCUGAUCCAGCCAUGCCGCGUGAGUGAUGAAGGCCUUAGGGUUGUAAAGCUCUUUUAUCCGGGAUGAUAAUGACAGUACCGGAAGAAUAAGCCCCGGCUAACUUCGUGCCAGCAGCCGCGGUAAUACGAAGGGGGCUAGCGUUGUUCGGAAUCACUGGGCGUAAAGGGCGCGUAGGCGGACGAUUAAGUCAGGGGUGAAAUCCCGGGGCUCAACCCCGGAAUUGCCCUUGAUACUGGUUGUCUUGAGAUUGGAAGAGGUAAGUGGAAUUGCGAGUGUAGAGGUGAAAUUCGUAGAUAUUCGCAAGAACACCGGUGGCGAAGGCGACUUACUGGUCCAUAUCUGACGCUGAGGCGCGAAAGCGUGGGGAGCAAAC